rnacentral:rRNA from 1 species
GACGAACGCUGGCGGCGUGCUUAACACAUGCAAGUCGAACGGAAAGGCCCCUUUCUUGGUACUCGAGUGGCAAACGGGGGAGUAACACGAGAGUAAGCUGCACUUGACUUCAGGACAACGUCAGGUAACUGGAGCUAAUACUGGUUACGAAUCCUUUCUGCAUGGUGGGGGUUGGAAAGCUUCGGCGGUUUUUGCUGGACUUGCUGCUUAUCGGCUUGUUGGGGUAGUUGUGGCUUACCAAGGCUUUGUCGGGUAGCCGGACUGAGAGGGCGACCGGCCACAUUGAGACUGAGAUACGGCCCAGACACCUACGGGGGGCAGCAGGGGGGAAUAUUGCAGAAGGGGCGGAGGGCUGAUGCAGCAACGCCGCGGGCGGGAUGACGACCUUAGGGUUGUAGACCGCUUUCAGCAGGGGCGAAGCAUGUGGUGACGGUACCUGCAGAAGAAGCACCGGCUAACUACGUG